rnacentral:misc_RNA from 1 species
AACUUUCGGCAAUGGAUCUCUUGGCUCUCGCAUCGAUGAAGAACGCAGCGAAUUGCGAUAAGUAGUGUGAAUUGCAGAACGUGAAUCAUCGAAUUUUUGAACGCAUAUUGCACUCUCUAGUAAUAUGGGGAGUAUGCCUGUUUGAGGGUCAGUAAAUAAUUAUUAUCGUAAUCCAUACGGAUGGGAUUAUGGAAUUGGGUCUUAAAAUCAGAUAGAUAGAUUUAUGCCUUAAAGUUGUAACACGGUUUAUUUGUUGCUUUCACAGAAAGCCAGAUCGUGAGUUACUCUAUCUAACUUUGACCUCAAAUCAGGCAAGAAUACCCGCUGAACUUAAGCAUAUCAAUAAGCGGAGGCU